GCCGGGAUGGCGGAACUGGUAGACGCAGGGGACUUAAAAUCCCCGGUGGUAACACUGUGCCGGUUCGACUCCGGCUCUCGGUACCA
rnacentral:tRNA from 1 species